rnacentral:lncRNA from 1 species
GCUGAGGCUUCUUCUUUGCUUCGAACGAUUCCCAAACACCCUCACUUCCCCCUGCGCUUUCCUCCUGCAAAACCCCACCAAAAUCCGAAGCAAAACCCGCAAUUCACAACCAACCCAACUCAUCAGAACACCAUCUCAAUCCGAAAAUCGAAAAAGUGAGUCACCUUUCUCCGGCCAUAGCCGUAGCCGCUCCCCUGCUUCGGCCCCUCGUCCUUCUCCUGUUCACCGCUUGAGACGACCUGCGAAAUCCACACCCCGCAUCACCACCAAAGGAGUAGAACACACGAUUACCAAAAAAGUAGUAGUAGUAGUAGUAGUAGAAGGAGAAGAGGCGGAGACCUCGGCCCAUGUGGAUCUGGAUCGAAGCUCCUCGUCCUCGGCGGGGGGAGGACGAGCUUGGGCUCUCCUCGGGGGAGCUUCGUCGCCUCCAUCAAUGGCGUCGAGGGCGACAUUGAUCAAACCCUUGAUGAGACCUUCCAUUUUUAGCUUCCUCUCUCUCUCUCUCCUUCCCACUCUUUUUAGUCUCCUUGGAUCAGGA